rnacentral:rRNA from 1 species
UGAGGAAUAUUGGUCAAUGGGCGCAAGCCUGAACCAGCCAUCCCGCGUGAAGGAAGAAUGCGCUACGCGUUGUAAACUUCUUUUCCAGGGGGAGAAUUUUCCUGUCGAGACAGAGAUUGACGGUACCCUGGGAAUAAGCAUCGACUAACUCCGUGCCAGCAGCCGCGGUAAUACGGAGGAUGCGAGCGUUAUCCGGAUUUAUUGGGUUUAAAGGGUGCGUAGGCGGAUUGAUAAGUCAGUGGUGAAAUUCUGCAGCUUAACUGUAGACUUGCCGUUGAUACUGUUAGUCUUGAGUGUGGUCAAGGCAGGCGGAAUGUGUAAUGUAGCGGUGAAAUGCUUAGAUAUUACACAGAACACCGAUUGCGAAGGUAGCUUGCUGGGUCAUUACUGACGCUGAUGCACGAAAGCGCGGGGAUCAAACAG